rnacentral:rRNA from 1 species
UACGUAGGGGGCUAGCGUUGUCCGGAAUCAUUGGGCGUAAAGCGCGUGUAGGCGGCCCGGUAAGUCCGCUGUGAAAGUCGGGGGGCUCAACCCUCGGAUGCCGGUGGAUACUGUCGGGCUUGAGUACGGAAGAGGCGAGUGGAAUUCCUGGUGUAGCGGUGAAAUGCGGCAGAUAUCAAGGAGGAACACCGAUUGCGAAGGCAGCUCGCUGGGACGUUACUGACGCUGAGACGCGAAAGCGUGGGGAGCAAACAGG